rnacentral:rRNA from 1 species
UACGUAGGGUGCGAGCGUUGUCCGGAAUUAUUGGGCGUAAAGAGCUUGUAGGCGGUUUGUCGCGUCUGCCGUGAAAUUUCGAGGCUCAACCUCGAACUUGCGGUGGGUACGGGCAGACUAGAGUGUGGUAGGGGAGACUGGAAUUCCUGGUGUAGCGGUGAAAUGCGCAGAUAUCAGGAAGAACACCCGUGGCGAAGGCGGCUCUCUGGAACGCAACUGACGCUGAGACGCGAAAGCGUGGGGAGCAAACAGG